AUUACGAGACUGUGUUUUUGUGGUGCUUGUGAUUUUCUUUUUUUCCGAGGCUUCUUAGAGAUUUAAAAGGUAUUCCCUACGCUCCAUCUCAUAGAUCGUCGGAGAUCCCUCAUCUGUGCACCGGGACAAGGAAAUGGAUCCACAUUAAAGGUCAUAGUACCAAGAUUUGAUCUUUUCAAGAUUACUUGCUCUGUCACCCAUAUAAUUUUAACAAAAUGUCAUGUAUCAUGUAAUGUAAUCUUUUAAUAAAUAAAUAAAAUUGAUCUUUAAAUG